ACCCUGAUUAGAAUUGGAAUUAUGUUAAGUUUCAGAAAAAAUAAGCUCAUGACUGGGGUUAAGCUAUUGGGCUUAGUACCAGGCCCAACUGCCUGGAUACAGACUUGUCCAAGUAAUUCCCCAUUUAGGCCAAGUCACAAGUCUGGCCCAUCUCAUAUGACCCCCAUUCGAACUAUUCUGAGAGAAUAUGCUAUAUUUAUAACAAUGGGCUGCUUGAACAUGGACUUUACUAAGAUACUUUAAACCUCAAUUAUCAAUCGCAGCAAUCAACUAAAAAUUAUUACAUUCUACUCCAUACUAAUUUUAUACAAAAAAUCAGUUUGCUAGUGAACAGUCCAUAGAUUUAAACCACAACACAUUUUAGGUACAGCUAAAGAAAAACUUUUUCGAAUAAUGUUCAACAUGGUUUGAGCCUUUUCAUUUGUUGUGAACCCUUCAGUAAACUUCAGAUUGCAAAAAAAAACAACUACAAAGAUGUCUUUGCAAGUCAGUCUUUGGUUCCAGCUCCAAAUAGUUCUGAGGUUUUCCCCUCUUGUUAUAACUCACAUACAAUCAAAUAAAAAUAAAAGUCUCAUUACAAAGGAAAUCUAUUUAGCAUCACAUGAUAACAAGAUAGUAAGCAAUAGCUAGUAUUAGCAAAUAAUCAACUUAGCAUAACUCAUGAAGCAUGAUUCACACACAAAACAUGGCAAGAGUCAUUUUUUACAAGAAAAAUAAUUGGUCUGAAAUUUCAGAGGAGCACCAUUCACUAAACCAAAACAAAAAUGAGCUUGAAAAAAGUGUAAAAAGCUAUAGGCUAAAGCAGCAACAUAUUUCUAAUCAAAACACCAUAUCUCAUUUAUGAAUCAUGAAGGAUUUUUAGAUAAAGGAACUACAUACCUAUAACAGCAAGAAUCAGAGUGAAACAAAAUGAAUCACUAAUCAAAACUAUGAAGGAGACAACAGCAUGAACCAAACAGCACAGCCAAAAUCAACCUAGAACACCAAGAACAGCGGACUCGAAUUUCCAGAAUAAAAAAUUAACAGCACUCGAAUGAGCUAACCUAAGAACCCUAACCCAGAACUGAUUUUAGAAUAAGAAAAUUGUAGGAAGCAUUUUUUUCUUCUGUAUAUUCAGAGAAUUUUAGGGUGAAAAUAGGCUGAUCCCUUUGUGUAGAAUAAAGGAAUAGCUUUCCUUUUACAAAUGAUCCCUAAAAUAGCAUCAAAAGAGCAUAUUCUAACCUAAAUUCCCUAAGGGUCAGAUAGUACAACAUCUUUUGAUAGCUGUAUGUCCUUUUUCCCGCCCAAUUUCAGCAUCUUUUGCUAAAAAUGGGGGCAGCUGUCCAAAAUACUAGAACCUUCUGAUAUUUACCCUAUGUAAAAUCCAGUUUUACCCUUUUAUUUACUGACUAUUUCAAUUCUAACCAAUUCUGAUCCUAUUCUAAUUUUAAAGACCUUUAUGAAACCUCCUAAGCAUUGUUUCAAGUGUUCUUUUAAUUCCAAAAUCAGUCUUAAGCUUAAGGGCAUUCAGGGUUUAAACCAAAAAUAUCUAAAUCUAAUUAGUAAAUUAAACAGGCUUGCAUAAUUAACCUAAAACAAAAUAGGAUUCAAAUAGCUAACACAACUAAAUACCAGAAUUAUAAUGAAACUGCAAAGAAACCCUAGAAACUAACCUAUUCAGUUGGCAAGUUAAACAAUUUUAAUCAACUAAUUUUUCUAACAGCUAACCAAAAAUAGACUAAACGGCUCGUUAAUCAACUUGAUAACAUUAUUCUAAUUAACUUGAACUAAAUACUGAGCAUAAAAUAAAACAAACAUAAGACAGAAAUAUGAAAGAAACAGAAAAAUCAUGCUAUUUAGCAAACCCUAAUUAAACUAAGUUUAUGCAAUUGAAAUUAAACUUCAGAUAAUAAAAUCUUAACAAGCUUUGAUUAAUCUAAUAAACAGAUGCCAAAUAAACAAACAAAAUAGUUGUGAACAAAAGAAAAGAAAAACCUAAAAUUGCAAACCUAAAACAUGCGACUAAAAGAAGAAAGAAGAUGAAAGGGAUAAUCAAAAGAGGAAAGGAGAAAAGAAUGGCAAAGAAAUUACCAGAACUCGCUCCAAAUUCGGACCAGUCAAGGACUCAGACAAGCUUCAACGGGGUAAAAUGAACUUGGACGACCAUUAAUCGACUAUUCUUAACAAGAGGGAAAAGUUUAGGUUUUUUGUGAAUCUUAGAUCUAAGAUUCGAGCGGUUUGAGAGAGAUUUGAGGGAAAUGGUUUGGGGAUUUGGAAAGGGGAGGGGAAGGUUGUUAUAUGGUGUUAAUUUGGUGGAGUUUGGAGGUGAUCUGCCGUCGUGAGGCAAUUUCCGGUCGGCAAACCACGGCGGAGGCGGCGUGGGUUAAAGGGGCAGCUAGGGUUUCUCGUUUGAGAGUGUUAGAGACGGAAUGAG
rnacentral:lncRNA from 1 species